rnacentral:rRNA from 1 species
CAGGACGAACGCUGGCGGCGUGCCUAAUACAUGCAAGUCGAGCGCAGGAAGUCAUCCGAACCCUUCGGGGGGACGUUGACGGAAUGAGCGGCGGACGGGUGAGUAACACGUAAAGAACCUGCCCUCAGGUYUGGGAUAACCACGAGAAAUCGGGGCUAAUACCGGAUGGGUCAUCGGACCGCAUGGUCCGAGGAUGAAAGGCGCUCCGGCGUCGCCUGGGGAUGGCUUUGCGGUGCAUUAGCUAGUUGGUGGGGUAACGGCCCACCAAGGCGACGAUGCAUAGCCGACCUGAGAGGGUGAUCGGCCACACUGGGACUGAGACACGGCCCAGACUCCUACGGGAGGCAGCAGUAGGGAAUCUUCCACRAUGGACGAAAGUCUGAUGGAGCAACGCCGCGUGAACGAUGAAGGCCCUCGGGUCGUAAAGUUCUGUU